rnacentral:rRNA from 1 species
UACGUAGGGGGCUAGCGUUGUCCGGAUUUAUUGGGCGUAAAGAGCGUGUAGGCGGCCAGGUAGUCUGGUGUGAAAACUCGAGGCUUAACCUCGAGAUGUCAUCGGAAACCAUCCUGGCUAGAGUCCGGAAGAGGAGAGUGGAAAUUCCCUGGUGUAGCGGUGAAAUGGCGCAGAUAUCAGGAGGAACACCAAUUGCGAAGGCAGCUCGCUGGGACGUUUACUGGCGCU